rnacentral:rRNA from 12 species
GGGUUGUGAGGUUAAGCGACUAAGCGUACACGGUGGAUGCCCUGGCAGUCAGAGGCGAUGAAGGGCGUGCUAAUCUGCGAUAAGCGCCGGUAAGGUGAUAUGAACCGUUAUAACCGGCGAUACCCGAAUGGGGAAACCCAGUGUGAUUCGUCACACUAUCAUUAACUGAAUCCAUAGGUUAAUGAGGCGAACCGGGGGAACUGAAACAUCUAAGUACCCCGAGGAAAAGAAAUCAACCGAGAUUCCCCCAGUAGCGGCGAGCGAACGGGGAGGAGCCCAGAGCCUGAAUCAGCAUGUGUGUUAGUGGAAGCGUCUGGAAAGGCGCGCGAUACAGGGUGACAGCCCCGUACACAAAAGCGCAUGUGCUGUGAGCUCGAUGAGUAGGGCGGGACACGUGGUAUCCUGUCUGAAUAUGGGGGGACCAUCCUCCAAGGCUAAAUACUCCUGACUGACCGAUAGUGAACCAGUACCGUGAGGGAAAGGCGAAAAGAACCCCGGCGAGGGGAGUGAAAAAGAACCUGAAACCGUGUACGUACAAGCAGUGGGAGCACAGGUUUACCUGUGUGACUGCGUACCUUUUGUAUAAUGGGUCAGCGACUUAUAUUCUGUAGCAAGGUUAACCG